rnacentral:rRNA from 1 species
CCCAGACUCCUACGGGAGGCAGCAGUGGGGAAUAUUGCACAAUGGGGGGAACCCUGAUGCAGCGACGCCGCGUGGGUGAAGGAGUACUUCGGUACGUAAAGCCCUAUCAGCAGGAAAGAAAAUGACGGUACCUGACUAAGAAGCCCCGGCUAACUACGUGCCAGCAGCCGCGGUAAUACGUAGGGGGCAAGCGUUAUCCGGAUUUACUGGGUGUAAAGGGAGCGUAGACGGCAGUGCAAGUCCGGAGUGAAAGCCCGGGGCUCAACCCUGGGACUGCUCUGGAAACUGCAAAGCUGGAGUGCGGGAGGGGCAGGCGGAAUUCCUGGUGUAGCGGUGAAAUGCGUAGAUAUCAGGAGGAACACCGGCGGCGAAGGCGGCCUGCUGGACCGUAACUGACGUUGAGGCUCGAAAGCGUGGGGAGCAAACAGGAUUAGAUACCCGUGUA